GCCCAGGUAGCUCAGUUGGUAGAGCAGCGGAUUGAAGUUCCGCGUGUCGGUGGUUCAAAUCCUCCCCUGGGCACCG
rnacentral:tRNA from 1 species